GUAGCUUGCUACUUUGCUGACGAGCGGCGGACGGGUGAGUAAUGCUUGGGAACAUGCCUUGAGGUGGGGGACAACAGUUGGAAACGACUGCUAAUACCGCAUAAUGUCUACGGACCAAAGGGGGCUUCGGCUCUCGCCUUUAGAUUGGCCCAAGUGGGAUUAGCUAGUUGGUGAGGUAAUGGCUCACCAAGGCAACGAUCCCUAGCUGGUUUGAGAGGAUGAUCAGCCACACUGGAACUGAGACACGGUCCAGACUCCUACGGGAGGCAGCAGUGGGGAAUAUUGCACAAUGGGCGAAAGCCUGAUGCAGCCAUGCCGCGUGUGUGAAGAAGGCCUUCGGGUUGUAAAGCACUUUCAGUCAGGAGGAAAGGGUGUGAGUUAAUACCUCACAUCUGUGACGUUACUGACAGAAGAAGCACCGGCUAACUCCG
rnacentral:rRNA from 1 species